AGAGAUCUUAAAAUAAGUUGAAAAUUCAAAAUGGUAAUUUAGCGUUAAUUCAGACAUCCAUUAUUUAUUUAUUUACUUUUCUAAAAUAUUUAAGUUGGUGCCUGUAAUUUUGUAGGAAGAUAUUACAUAGUUGAUGCAGGCUAUGCAAAUACAAAGGGAUUUCUAGCACCUUAUCGUGGUGUACGAUAUCAUUUGAGAGAAUGGAGCCAAACACAAGCACCACAAAAUGCUCGUGAACUCUUUAACUUGAGACAUUCAAAGCUUCGAAAUGUCGUGGAGAGGACAUUUGCUGUUUUGAAAAAAGAUUCCCUAUAUUAACGACUCCUCCUCCAUAUUCCAUCAAAAAACAAGGUUGGAUUGUGCUAUCAUGUUGUAUACUUCAUAAUUUCAUUCGUAAGUGGAACUGGGAUGAUUCAUAUUUUGAAGAACACGUGGAAGAGGAAAUAGAAGAUUCCCACAAUUUGGAUGAUAUUGAUUCAGAUUCAGAUGAAGAAGAACUUGGACGAGGACCGACAGAUGUUGACAAACAAUAUAUGUGCAAUCUAAGAGAUGGGAUAGCUCAACAGAUAUGGAAUGCUAGAGCAAUUAGGUAGAAUAGCAUAUGUUGAAAGGGAUAGAGUAGGUCAUUGUCACUUGAAGCAAGGGUAUAGCCACCAGUCUAUUUUGUAAAAUAGGUAGAUGUAAGAGGUAGAGUAAUUAAAGGCUGCAAGGUUUAUCAGUGUAAAACUUCAUUGUAUAUCCUUUUCUCUGAUGUUGGUAAUUCAGAUAUUAGUCUAUCAUAAUUGAAUAUUGGGAACUUGGGG